AUUGAACGCUGGCGGAAUGCUUUACACAUGCAAGUCGAACGGCAGCACGGACUUCGGUCUGGUGGCGAGUGGCGAACGGGUGAGUAAUGUAUCGGAACGUGCCCAGUCGUGGGGGAUAACGUAGUGAAAAUUACGCUAAUAACGCAUACGAUCUAUGGAUGAAAGCGGGGGAUCGCAAGACCUUGCGCGAUUGGAGCGGCCUAUAUCAGAUUAGGUAGUUGGUGGGGUAAAGGCCCACCAAGCCAACGAUCUGUAGCUGGUCUGAGAGGACGACCAGCCACACUGGAACUGAGACACGGUCCAGACUCCUACGGGAGGCAGCAGUGGGGAAUUUUGGACAAUGGGCGAAAGCCUGAUCCAGCCAUUCCGCGUGCAGGAUGAAGGCCCUCGGGUUGUAAACUGCUUUUGUACAGAACGAAAAGGUUUCUACUAAUACUAGGAGCUCAUGACGGUACUGUAAGAAUAAGCACCGGCUAACUACGUGCCAGCAGCCGCAGUAA
rnacentral:rRNA from 1 species